ensembl:ncRNA K04H4.12 ncRNA
AAAAGAUGAUGAAAUUUGGUCACAAGAAAUGUAGUGAAUCUAGUUUUGGAAUUCGUUGGCAAAAUAUCUACACACUAUUUGUGAUGUUUGUGUGUUUGUAUGUGUGUGUUUUAUUUUUUGGAAUGAAUUGAAUUGAGUGAGAGGAAAAGGAAAAGAAUUAAAUGUAAACACACAAAUACA